rnacentral:rRNA from 1 species
CCUACGGGAGGCAGCAGUGAGGAAUAUUGGUCAAUGGACGAGAGUCUGAACCAGCCAAGUAGCGUGAAGGAUGACUGCCCUAUGGGUUGUAAACUUCUUUUAUAUGGGAAUAAAACGUUCCACGUGUGGGAUUUUGUAUGUACCAUAUGAAUAAGAAUCGGCUAACUCCGUGCCAGCAGCCGCGGUAAUACGGAGGAUCCGAGCGUUAUCCGGAUUUAUUGGGUUUAAAGGGAGCGUAGGUGGAUUGUUAAGUCAGUUGUGAAAGUUUGCGGCUCAACCGUAAAAUUGCAGUUGAAACUGGCAGUCUUGAGUACAGUAGAGGUGGGCGGAAUUCGUGGUGUAGCGGUGAAAUGCUUAGAUAUCACGAAGAACUCCGAUUGCGAAGGCAGUUCACUGGACUGCAACUGACACUGAGGCUCGAAAGUGUGGGUAUCAAACAGGAUUAGAUACCCCAGUAGUC